rnacentral:rRNA from 1 species
CUACGGGUCGCUCCAGUGAGGAAUAUUGCACAAUGGGGGGAACCCUGAUGCAGCAACGCCGCGUGGAGGAUGACGCAUUUCGGUGUGUAAACUCCUUUUAUAUGUCAAGAAAAUGACGGUAGCAUAUGAAUAAGCACCGGCUAACUCCGUGCCAGCAGCCGCGGUAAUACGGAGGGUGCAAGCGUUACUCGGAAUCACUGGGCGUAAAGGACGCGUAGGCGGGUUGGAAAGUCAGGUGUGAAAUCCUACAGCUUAACUGUAGAACUGCACUUGAAACUUCUAAUCUAGAGUAUGGGAGGGGGAGAUGGAAUUAGUGGUGUAGGGGUAAAAUCCGUAGAUAUCACUAGGAAUACCUAAAGCGAAGGCGAUCUCCUGGAUCAUUACUGACGCUAAGGCGUGAAAGCGUGGGGAGCAAACAGGAUUAGAUACCCUCGUAGUC